GGGGAAGUCCAGGUGAAAGGAGCUGGAGGAGAGGAAGCAUUGCUGAAUCCUGAGAACUUCAGAACAUCUGGAUCCCCAAAGCAUUGUAAUGUUGUGAGUGCAGCACUUCAGUGCUUCAUAUAACCCCCCUGGCAGUGGCACCUUCUUCCAAUUGGCUACUUCUCAGCUGGUCAGAUGAGAACAGAAGUCAUAUCCAUCCACCAGCAGAGGGCAUGAGGCUUGAAGACAUGGACAAGGGCAUGAGCAUGGAGAAAGACACGGAGGACUGCUUCCACUCCUCCUCUUUGGGCGAGGCAGACCCUGACCCUCCUGAGAGAGUGACACUUGUGGCCAACGAGAAGAUGUUUGAGGAGCAUGUGGAGUAUUUGCAUGUAAUGGGAGGUGCAGUGAACCAUCUCAGGACUGCAUCAAAGCCAUUCUAAUUUCGAAGCUACGCCUUGCUUAAAUAAACUUCACAUGAACUUCACUGAAGACACCAUGACUAGAAAAAAGCUACUAACAAUAAAUUGACCUUAAUGUCAGAGAAUGCUGACAGAACAGAGAUUUCAGCAGAAUGGAGUUUGUUUUGCAGUACAGUGAAUUGAAAAACACCUCAAGAUGAUUAGAAAAAGCCAAAGAGAACAAAGUGCCCAUAAAAAUCUAUCAAUGAUAAGAGACACCAUGGCUAGGAAGGGGGAAAGCGUGUUUAGUACAAUAAGUGUACAAAUUAAUCUGCCAAUAUAUUUUUUUUAUUUAUUCAUGCUAACUGUGCAGGUCUUGUCUGACAAUGUAAUUUUCCUAAAACUAACCCAUGAGAAAGCAAAUGCAAACACUUUGAAGAACAGAGUUGGCAGAAUUAUGGACUGUGAAUAAAUUACCUGACCAAUUUAGCCCUUUUUUUCUGCUUGAACCAUUUGUGAAUGGAUUUUGUAUUAAUUUAUUUGCUAUUCAUAAUAGUUUGAAGAGUUUAAGAGAAGAAAUAUUGUCCUCUGGGUUGUUUUUGCUUCACUAAUCAGUGUGCAAUUGGUCAGCCGAGCCAUUCAGUAUUGCUUCUUUUUCCUGCCUAGAUGUCUGAAACAGGGGAAUUGUGAGUAGUGAAUGACAAAUGAUUUUGUUCAUGCAUGGAUUUCUUUAUUCACAUGCAAAUAUGGUUAUUUGAACACGGAAGAACCAGCAUUCUAUUUACUUGAUGUUUUAAGCAUAGCCUUGGCCAUUCCCUAUUACAGAGCUUAUCAGUUAAGCUUCUUGUGCUUUGUUUUCAAGGCUUCAAACUGUAUCUCUGACCAUUUUCUUUUUGCAUUUCCCCAUUCCAUUGCAACAUGUAUGCUUUUUAUGUUCCUUUAAAUGACGUUAUUUUUGUACCUUCUUUACUGCUCCCCUGUUAUGGAACAUCUGCCCAAGCUUGUUUGUCAAGCCACCUCCCUUGCCACAUUUAAAUCCCUCUAAAAUAUUGACUUAUGCCAUCUGACCUGCAUGAAGUGUGGUAAAGAAGAAAACAGUGUAAGUGUAGAGAACCCACAAGCUGCGUACGUGUCUGACUAAGUGUGCACGUGGUCUUUUCACUGUAACAUUUGUACCCUCUUCUCUUCUUUUGCCCCUUUUAUGAUUCUUGCUUCUGUACUUUGCUGCAUUCAGACUGUGUACUAGUGAGGGGAGAGACAGUAUCUUAGCGUGUUUCAGGAGGCAACUAG